CGCGGUGAAUACCCGUUCCCGGACCUUGUACACACCGCCCGUCAAGCCAUGGAAGCUGGGUGUACCUAAAGUCGGUAACCGCAAGGAGCCGCCUAGGGUAAAACUAGUAACUGGGGCU
rnacentral:rRNA from 1 species